rnacentral:lncRNA from 1 species
AACAACCGAGCUUUGUCUAGCUGAAUUUUAGAGCUGUUCCUUUUCAGGUACAGUACUAGGUUUAUUCCUAAGUUGGAAGGAUGUACCGUUGGCCGAGGUUUCUGCCGAUGAUUUCUCAUACAAUUUACUCUUUCAUUUUCAGGGUCAUCUUCGAGGAACCUUUCAGCUUGUAGCCCUCAGCGAUCUCUGGAAGAAGAUGGGGCGUAAUGGUGUCAAGAAGAGCAUCUGGCACUUCCUCUGUGGCUGCUCCUCGCCUAAGACCAGCAAAUGAUUAAGAGCGAAAUGCAUGACACAGCGAGAGGUUAAGUGUCUAAGGGUUCUCAAUAGGUUGAAUUUAAAAAGUGGUUGUAAAGUUGUGAUUAGAUACUGCUAAGUUAUUUGGUUGAAUUGGUUUGUAAUCUUGUGGUUGUGUUGGGCCAGCUUCCUCUGCAGCAAGGAACAUGUAAACGAGGAAUGUCUUGUAACCAUAUUCGGAAAUAAAUCUCGCAUAUAUGUGUCAUACUCUUGCCGUGCGUGUAAAUUAUGCUAAUCCACUUUAGGAUUGAACGAACAAGACUCAUAUUUUUCGCAUCAUGGCCCCGAUGCCAACCAUCAUUAGCUUCGAAUCAAGGAUCAAGCAAGACUUCUGGCCCUGCCGGGGCGAAAGUUUUCGGAAAGGAUCAUUACAAUGAAUGUGAUCAUUUCGGGCUGUUGGAAUAUUUUGAUGCAGUGAGAUGGGAAUUUUUUCAAAAAUGCCUCCUCUUCCUUUGCAUCAUGGAAGCAUCAAUUAAGAGAGGAUUUGAUCCUGCUCAACCAUAGAAUCAGGAGGAAGCAUGCUUCUUACCUGGAUGGUUUCUGAAUAACAUGUAUCGCUUUAUGCCUCGAAAGUUUUUGUGUCAAUGGCUAUUCACAGAGUGGAUUUGUGUACCCAAAUUUAACAGAUGAGAACUCGUAGUUUUUUGUUACCCGGAGUUUGGGUUUCUUUAUUGCAAGGAACUAGUAAUCUGGUACAUCGAAGACAUAAUACGGCAUAUCUCAAUCAUGAUGGGAAUGCACUCUGUUUUUCUUUCUCUUCUGUAGGAAAUUACAGAUACGUACUCUACUCUGUAUUUCGACCACCGUGCGUUUACCAUUAUAUAUGCACACCACACAAGCAAACGCAAAGAAAUCGACGACAUAAGUGAGAAAAAUACGUGAACCAGGCGUCACCUAAUAUGUGUUAAACAUUAGUUUCCAUUACGUGCAUUACUAGCAGCAGUUGAACCUUUUCAAGGAAAGGUCCAUACAUGCCUCAGUCAAAGAAGUUAGUACUCUUUUUUUUUUAACAUAAAAGAAGAAGUUAGUAGCUAGUAGUACUACUAGUAGUAUUGUAAUCCUACCAUGUUGUGUGCAUGCUGACCAAAAACCCGUUGAAUGAUUGAACCUUGAAGAGGCAUAAGCUCGCAUUGACCGACAAUUACUACUACUUAUAACCUAGCAGUCAAGGCCAUACGCUCACAUUGGCUGUCAACAUCACAUAAGAACAUCAGAAUUCUCCAAAGGAAAUGGUCGUCAGGUCAGCCCAAGUCAUUCUUGGCAAGUAACUUUCACUGAACAUUCUUUGGCAAGUGCAAACCAAGCACAACUACGCAAGUGGACUGUUAAACUAUGACCAGCGAACUUGUUUAGGCUGCCUUCUAUUUUGUGAUUAUUCAUGUUCUUUUCCAGUUAUACGUGCAACCCAAGUUUGUCCCCUUUUGUGACGGGGAGUACAGUAAGCAGAGUAUUCACAGAACAUGGCUUGUUCUUCGCUGAAUGUUCCUGUGAUUUUCAUGUUACUUUCCUAGUAAAAAAUGUCACGGUAGGAACACUAGUUAUCUAAACACGGUCGCUUGUGUGAUUGUGAGUGAAUGUGUGGCCUCUAUAGACCUGCCCUUGUUAGUUCUGCCUGUUGCAUCAAUCGGCCAUCUUCCCAGUAAUUUCCCGGUUCAUUGCAAAUAAAUUUUAUACGGAUCAUGGCUAAACGGUUAAGCAUUAAGAGUUCACAGCUGAAGUUUAGUUUGCAUAAACAUGUCCGGGAGCCGGAUUAAGUUUUUGUUGGACGUCCAGGACUCAUUCUAUACAUGCGGACACGCUAAUGGCUAACAAAUGUCGCUGAAGUUUCUGCCACUGAUCCACUUUUCAAGCUCAAGUUCUGGAAUCGUUCAGUCACUCUUCACUGAAUAUUCGUCUAGUGCCUCGCUAACUUUUCCUUGUAAUAUCUGUGUUUGUCCUUGCUCUCAACGAAAUUGCUACUUGCCCAGGGGAGGAAGGCCUAUAAAUGGACCAGCAUGUCGGUCUGCAGUCCUGCACCAGUGUCUAGCUGAAUUUUAGAGCUGUUCCUUUUCAGGUAAGGGUACGGCACUAGGUUUCAUUCCUGAGUUGGGCUGGAUGUACCGUUGUCCGAGGUUUCUGCCUAUGAUUUCUCAUACAAUUUACUCUUUUAUUUGCAGGGUCAUCUUGGCCGAACAUUUCAGCUUGUAGCCUUCAGCGAUCUCUGGAAGAAGAUGGGGCGUAACGGUGUCAAGAAGAGCAUCUGGGAGUUCCUGUGCGGCUGUUCCUCGCCUCGGACGAGCAAAUGAUUAAGGCCAAAAUGCAUGACAAAGCGAGAGGUUAAGUGUCUAAUGGUUCCUAAUAGAUGAAAUUCUUCCGAAUAGGUCUCCACAAAGUUGCUUUAUGUUAAGCUUAAAAAGUUUGUGUUUAGAUAUUGCUCGGUUCUUUGGUUAAAUUGGUUUGUAGUCUUGGGGUUGUGUCGUUCUUCUGCAGCAAGGAGCAUGUAAAACCGUGUCGUGUGUAAUCAUAUUCCGAAAUAAAUAUCUCUCGCAUAUUUGUCCGUCA